rnacentral:tRNA from 1 species
GUUUCAUUAGCUUAAUAGGUUAAGCGUUCGUUUUGUAAUCGAAAGAUUAUAGGUUCAAAUCCUAUAUGAAACA